AUGCUGUCAAUGGAUCAUUGUCUACUUUCUUUGGUGUUUCUAUCCAUUUUAACAGGUGUCAGCUGUGAAGAACUCACUCCAGUCAACAAUGAAGAGUACAGUUUAGAAGGCAGCUCUGUUACUCUGUCCUACAAAUACUAUCAAGCUGCAACUGGUAGUGAUAGAUUCUUCUGGUAUCGACAAUAUCCAGGAAAACCACCAGAGUUCCUUAUUUCUCAUUAUGCCAUGGGCUCCAUGAACAGCAUAAAGCCAGAAAAUACUGAAGAACAUGUUGCAGAGAGAGGAAACAUCAAGCUGUACUGUAGAUAUGAAGGUGAUAUCUACAAUAUCCAGUGGUACCGACAAUACCAGAGAUCCAGACCAGAGUUCCUGCUCUACAUCUCAGAGGACGGAUCGAUUUAUCCAACUGAUUCUGAUUUCUCAGCUCACAUUAACUCAGCAGUGAAACGUGUAGAUCUGCAGAUCUCCUCUGCUGCAGUGACAGACUCUGCUGUGUACUACUGUGCUGUGAGGCCCACAGUG